AUAAAUUUACCUGUUGGCGAACACCGUUGGAACAACAGAAAACAAGGAAGUAAGCACGAGUAUCCAAAACAAGUAGUUCAUUUCUCGGCCGUCUGAGACACACUGUAGUGACAAUCGUCCACCUGCCGUUUGAUUUUUAGAUCAACAAUGUGCGUUGCUAGAGGCAAAAACAAGGAAAACCCAGGACUGACAAUUUUAUAAAAAGGAAAGAAAGACCUAACGUGUCAAAAGGUGGAAGCUGGAAGGUCAAUAAUCAGGUGGUCGACUCGAUCGCGGCUGUUCUUUAACAAGAAAAUCAAAUGUCAGUGCACCACAAAGUUGUAAAAUCUAUUCGAGAAAAGAAUCGUUUUAAACAUUGCUUAAUCUACUUCACACAACGAUGUUUGUUUGUUUUAACGAUGACAGUGUUUGUUGUAAAAUGCUUGUAUGGGCCUUCAAGUGGGGACAAUCAUCGUGAAAUUGACUAAAAAAACAUGGAAAAUGUAAACUGAAGAUGAGAGUACAGUAUGCAAACUACUUCUGAAUGUAGAAUUUUUACCUUGUGUGAUUGUGUUUGUGGCCAAGCUGUUGUGUUGAUGCAUACACCAGUUAUCCCUUGGCGAAA